rnacentral:lncRNA from 1 species
CAGAGAAUGACAAAUGCCUUGUCUCAGCUUCCUUUUACCAUGUACAGUCCAGGAUCCCAGCCAGAGAUAAGGAGCCACCCACACUGAGCAAGGUUGCCUUCCAGAUCACUGGUCCUUAGGAAGGAGCAGCUCUAGCAGGAACUUGGUCUAUGCGCCUUGGCCUCAAGCUCAUAUCUGAUGGAAAGAAAGGUUUGUUGGAUGAAUAAAACCACAAGAUUUAAUCACCACAAAGUACCAUGGAUGAUGCUGUGCUCACCAACAUUCUCUUUCUCCGAACAUGCACCUCCCUGUGUAGCUUCUGUGAACUGCCUGGCAACUCUUCACUUUAAUACAGACAGCUUUUUCUGAACUUUCCUCCUUUAACUCCAGCAGUUUCUACUGAAUGAUGCAUCUUUCCCAGUGAACACUUUCUGUAGCAUGCAUGCCCUGUCAGAAAUCAAAUAUGACACAAACUCAGGAGGGCUUUACUCUAUUACGAUUCCGGUGUUCCUUUCUAUCAUUCAUGAUGACAUGGUGUCAGCAGCUAUUUUACUAGAUACUAUUGUUCACACUUAUGGUUACCCUACAGGCAGAUAUUAUCAGCCUUUGACCUUUUACACAAAGGAGAGGUAAUAGGAGUGAUGGAGGAGUUAGGAAGGAGGAACAUAAUGAAAAAUUCUAUCACUUAUUGUAACUAGUAGUUUUUGUAAAUGUCUAAAACCCUUUGAUAAAUAUUUUACAAUAUUCU